UACGUAGGGUGCAAGCGUUGUCCGGAAUUAUUGGGCGUAAAGAGCUCGUAGGCGGUCUGUCGCGUCGGAUGUGAAAACCCGGGGCUUAACCCCGGGCCUGCAUUCGAUACGGGCAGACUCGAGUGUGGUAGGGGAGACUGGAACUCCUGGUGUAGCGGUGAAAUGCGUAGAUAUCUGGAGGAACACCGGUGGCGAAGGCGGCAUCCUGGACCGGUAUUGACGCUGAGGCGCGAAAGCCAGGGGAGCAAACGGG
rnacentral:rRNA from 1 species